rnacentral:rRNA from 1 species
UACGUAGGGAGCAAGCGUUGUCCGGAAUCAUUGGGCGUAAAGAGCGCGUAGGUGGCUGCAUAAGUCCGUUGUGAAAGUCAAAGGCUCAACCUUUGAAAGCCGAUGGAUACUGUGGAGCUAGAGUACGGAAGAGGCGAGUGGAAUUCCUGGUGUAGCGGUGGAAUGCGCAGAUAUCAGGAGGAACACCAAUAGCGAAGGCAGCUCGCUGGGACGUUACUGACACUGAGGCGCGAAAGCGUGGGGAGCGAACAGG